UUUCAGCCCAUUGGAAUUCUUACUAUGGUGCAACAUAUAGGAGAAGAUCCCCGCUUCCAUGGGGAGGAAUGCCGACGUUGGCAGACAUGUGGUGUGCCUACUGUAUGCAGUUUUAUUGGUUUGAGUGCGUGAAACGUUACUGCGCCAGCGCCCCACGUCGACACGGUACCAGAUGGAUGUACCCUGUCAACGAUAUCAGGAUUUUCGGUUAUGAAAGAGUGGGGUGGGGAAAUAGGGGCAUCAACUUUGAUCGUUUUCAAUUACAGUUGUGAGCUACUAACUUUGUAUGACGUAAUGCCGGUUAAAUAAACAGGUUAAAAUAUUUGUUUUCAAAGAUAAGACAAUAACGCCGUCAUGAUGAAGUGUAUGUGUCAGAUUUAAAUUUAAUGGUUUUGAUCAUUAUGUUUUAAAUCGAACUCAAUCAUUAAAAUCAAGCAAACGGAAGUCCGGUGGAAUUAUUGUUUACAUUCGAAAUGAACUCACUAGCAAAGAUACUUUAGUGUUUACAAGC